CAUUCCAUGACCGAAUUUUUCAAGGCAUCGCCGUUUAGAGGCGAAGAUGCGGGUUCGAGUCCCGCUGGAACGG
rfam:Operophtera brumata OBRT01_Sc17599, whole genome shotgun sequence.